UACGAAGGGGGCGAGCGUUGUUCGGAUUUACUGGGCGUAAAGGGCGCGUAGGCGGCGGGUCAAGUCGAGUGUGAAAGCCCCGGGCUCAACCUGGGAAUUGCGCUCGAGACUGGUCUGCUUGAGUUCGGGAGAGGAGAGUGGAAUUCCCAGUGUAGAGGUGAAAUUCGUAGAUAUCGGGAGGAACACCAGUGGCGAAGGCGGCGAUCUGGGUUGAUACUGACGCUGAGGUGCGAAAGCGUGGGGAGCAAACAGG
rnacentral:rRNA from 1 species